UACAGAGGGUGCAAGCGUUAAUCGGAAUUACUGGGCGUAAAGCGUGCGUAGACGGUUAUUUAAGUCAGGUGUGAAAGCCCCGGGCUCAACCUGGGAAUUGCAUUUGAGACUGAAUAGCUAGGGUGCGGAAGAGGGAAGCGGAAUUUCCGGUGUAGCGGUGAAAUGCGUAGAUAUCUGGAGGAACACCGGUGGCGAAGGCGGCAUCCUGGACCAACACUGACGCUGAUGAGCGAAAGCCAGGGGAGCAAACGGG
rnacentral:rRNA from 1 species